rnacentral:lncRNA from 14 species
CUGCCACCUGCUGUGUCUCCGAGCAGGGUAUCUGGGGCUAAAUCCUUGUUCACAGGGCAGAGCUGGUGUAAAGGCUGUGUCCUGAAGUGUUCAUCAUGGGAUCAUGAGGAUGGCCACAGAAAGUCAAAGAGUACAAGUCACACAUCGCAGAGCAACAGCAGAUGUCUGGUCUCUGAGCUGGGAAACAGCUCUUAACUCAAAUUCAAAUUUCAUUUCACCAGUUUCUAUUAUCUUAUAGAGCAGAGGCCUUUCUACAGUCUUUGUAAAACCCACAGACUGUCUGGGCACAGAGCCCGAAGGCUAUGGGCUAGCAUGGAUGUCUCCAAAGUAUACUGCUGAGCCAUUCAUGAAUACCAGAUUCUAGAAUUGAACAGAACUGGGAAACACAUUUAC